CGGAGUAUAGCGCAGCCCGGUAGCGCACCUGUCUGGGGGACAGGGGGUCGCAGGUUCAAGUCCUGCUACUCCGA
rfam:Methylobacterium sp. Leaf99 contig_2, whole genome shotgun sequence.